UACGAAGGGGGCUAGCGUUGUUCGGAUUUACUGGGCGUAAAGCGCACGCAGGCGGAUGCGCGCGUGGGGUGUGAAAUCUGGCCGCUUAACGGCCAGGCGCCAUCCCAUACGGCGCGUCUGGAGUGAUGCAGAGGUCGAUGGAAUUGCCGGUGUAGUGGUGAAAUGCGUAGAGAUCGGCAGGAACACCCAGGGGGAAACCAGUCGACUGGGCAUCUACUGACGCUGAGGUGCGAGAGCGUGGGGAGCGAACCGG
rnacentral:rRNA from 1 species